AAUAGAUACCCGGGUAGUCCACGCCGUAAACGAUGAGUGCUAAGUGUUAGGGGGUUUCCGCCCCUUAGUGCUGCAGCUAACGCAUUAAGCACUCCGCCUGGGGAGUACGGUCGCAAGACUGAAACUCAAAGGAAUUGACGGGGGCCCGCACAAGCGGUGGAGCAUGUGGUUUAAUUCGAAGCAACGCGAAGAACCUUACCAGGUCUUGACAUCCCAUUGACCACUAUGGAGACAUAGUUUUCCCUUCGGGGACAACGGUGACAGGUGGUGCAUGGUUGUCGUCAGCUCGUGUCGUGAGAUGUUGGGUUAAGUCCCGCAACGAGCGCAACCCUUGUUCUUAGUUGCCAUCAUUUAGUUGGGCACUCUAAGGAGACUGCCGGUGACAAACCGGAGGAAGGUGGGGAUGACGUCAAAUCAUCAUGCCCCUUAUGACCUGGGCUACACACGUGCUACAAUGGACGGUACAAACGGUUGCCAACCCGCGAGGGGAGCUAAUCCGAUAAACCGUUCUCAGUUCGGAUUGUAGGCUGCAACUCGCCUACA
rnacentral:rRNA from 1 species